rnacentral:rRNA from 1 species
UACAGAGGGUGCGAGCGUUAAUCGGAAUUACUGGGCGUAAAGCGUGCGCAGGCGGUUUUGUAAGCCAGAUGUGAAAGCCCCGGGCUCAACCUGGGAACUGCAUUUGGGACUGCAAGGCUGGAGUACGGCAGAGGGAGGUGGAAUUCCACGUGUAGCAGUGAAAUGCGUAGAGAUGUGGAGGAACACCGAUGGCGAAGGCAGCCUCCUGGGCUAGUACUGACGCUCAUGCACGAAAGCGUGGGGAGCAAACAGG